GAUGGAAGGCGACGGCAGCGGCACGAAUGCCGGGAGCGAAUAGAUGAACAUGCCGGAGGCGUCGUAAUUGACGGAGACGACGAAGACGUUGGCAUCGGAGCCUGACGUCGCGGCGUUGACGGUAAGCUUUGCCGGAUCGAUCAGCGGAUAGGUAUUGACGUUGCCGGUGACGUAGCUGCUCGCGAGCGUGCUGCGCUCACUUUCGCUCAAUCCCGCGACCGAGGA
rnacentral:misc_RNA from 1 species